rnacentral:rRNA from 3 species
AGAGUUUGAUCCUGGCUCAGGACGAACGCUGGCGGCGUGCUUAACACAUGCAAGUCGAACGGAAAGGCCCCUUCGGGGGUACUCGAGUGGCGAACGGGUGAGUAACACGUGGGCAAUCUGCCCUGCACUUCGGGAUAAGCCUGGGAAACUGGGUCUAAUACCGGAUAGGACCUUUAGGCGCAUGUCUUUAGGUGGAAAGCUUUUGCGGUGUGGGAUGGGCCCGCGGCCUAUCAGCUUGUUGGUGGGGUGAUGGCCUACCAAGGCGACGACGGGUAGCCGGCCUGAGAGGGUGUCCGGCCACACUGGGACUGAGAUACGGCCCAGACUCCUACGGGAGGCAGCAGUGGGGAAUAUUGCACAAUGGGCGCAAGCCUGAUGCAGCGACGCCGCGUGGGGGAUGACGGCCUUCGGGUUGUAAACCUCUUUCACCAUCGACGAAGGUCCGGGUUUUCUCGGAUUGACGGUAGGUGGAGAAGAAGCACCGGCCAACUACGUGCCAGCAGCCGCGGUAAUACGUAGGGUGCGAGCGUUGUCCGGAAUUACUGGGCGUAAAGAGCUCGUAGGUGGUUUGUCGCGUUGUUCGUGAAAUCUCACGGCUUAACUGUGAGCGUGCGGGCGAUACGGGCAGACUAGAGUACUGCAGGGGAGACUGGAAUUCCUGGUGUAGCGGUGGAAUGCGCAGAUAUCAGGAGGAACACCGGUGGCGAAGGCGGGUCUCUGGGCAGUAACUGACGCUGAGGAGCGAAAGCGUGGGGAGCGAACAGGAUUAGAUACCCUGGUAGUCCACGCCGUAAACGGUGGGUACUAGGUGUGGGUUUCCUUCCUUGGGAUCCGUGCCGUAGCUAACGCAUUAAGUACCCCGCCUGGGGAGUACGGCCGCAAGGCUAAAACUCAAAGGAAUUGACGGGGGCCCGCACAAGCGGCGGAGCAUGUGGAUUAAUUCGAUGCAACGCGAAGAACCUUACCUGGGUUUGACAUGCACAGGACGCGUCUAGAGAUAGGCGUUCCCUUGUGGCCUGUGUGCAGGUGGUGCAUGGCUGUCGUCAGCUCGUGUCGUGAGAUGUUGGGUUAAGUCCCGCAACGAGCGCAACCCUUGUCUCAUGUUGCCAGCGGGUAAUGCCGGGGACUCGUGAGAGACUGCCGGGGUCAACUCGGAGGAAGGUGGGGAUGACGUCAAGUCAUCAUGCCCCUUAUGUCCAGGGCUUCACACAUGCUACAAUGGCCGGUACAAAGGGCUGCGAUGCCGCAAGGUUAAGCGAAUCCUUUUAAAGCCGGUCUCAGUUCGGAUUGGGGUCUGCAACUCGACCCCAUGAAGUCGGAGUCGCUAGUAAUCGCAGAUCAGCAACGCUGCGGUGAAUACGUUCCCGGGCCUUGUACACACCGCCCGUCACGUCAUGAAAGUCGGUAACACCCGAAGCCAGUGGCCUAACCCUUGGGAGGGAGCUGUCGAAGGUGGGAUCGGCG